UAUAUUAUGUAUAUAAUGUAUAUACAUAAAUAUGUAUAGUAUGCACAUAUAUAUUACAUAUAGUAUGUAUAUAUAAUGUAUAGUGUGUGCAUGUG
rnacentral:miRNA from 1 species